rnacentral:piRNA from 1 species
UGUGCUUUCAUGUGCAUUGACUUGACUA